AGUGCAGAAGGCCUCUUGUUCCACAAGCUUCUCUAUGUCCAGCUUUUCUAUGUACUGGAGGAACUGCGGGUCCAGUUGGUAAUCACCCACAGAAUGGGACGAGAGACAUCACGACCCAGGGCCACCUCACAUCAGCAGCGGCUUUGCUAAUGACGUUAAGAACAAAGGCAGACGGAAAAUUUUCUAUUGUCUCAAUUCUGAAAAGGGUUUAAUGAUCCCCUUGGAACUGAUGAUCUACACAAGAGGCCUGAGAAGUCCUUUCUGUCAGAGGCCCAGAGAGGGGGCCACGGUGGAGGACAGAGCCAACAAAAUACCUUUUGGGGAGAAAAGAAAAAAGAAAAAAAGAAAACUACCACCUUCCAAAGUAAGAUCAACUGCUAAGAAUAGUCAAAAGACACCCGGCUUUGAGCACCCUAGUUUCACCCUGCUGCACAAGAAAUUAAUUGUUUUCAAGUUUGAGGAUUCUGAGCUCCCUAUUCCUGGGGGAACUGGAAAGAGCCGACACACAGAGAUGCUUCUGAAGAGGUAGCAAUUCUGCCUUUUCUAAUCCUCCUUGGGGGGAGAAGUCACUUGAUGGAGCUUCGAGUGACAGGUUCCUCGCUGUUCUUUAAAGGCCACACUCAGUAUUAAGAAGGCACUUAAAAGACUUCUGCAAGAACUCUGCUACCGCUGUAUAUCCUGGUUGUUGCAAUAACGUGCACUUUUCUGAGAAAGUGCUCACAGACAUUGCAAACUGAAGUCUGCAUUUACUAUUUGCUAUUUCCACCUUUUCACCAAGAGGCUGUGGGAGGGUGCGAGGGUUUAGAUACAGUUUGUGUUCCUCAAGGGUCCACUGGGAUUAGAGGCUUGGUGCCCAGGGUGGCCCUACUGGGAGGGGUGGAACCUUUAGGAGCUUGGCCUGGGGCAGCCCCUUAGGUCACAGGAUGUACCCUGAGGAGGGAGUGUGGGACCUCAGUCUCUCUGACUUCCUGUUUGGCAAUGUCAGCACUUCCCCACGCAUGGGUCUGUGCUACAAUGUGAUGACAGCUAGGAGGCCCUUUUCCAGAGCCAAGCCCAUGCAGGUAACACACCCCUGGCAACUGUGAGCUAAACAAAUGCUGCGUCUUUAUGAAGUUAGCUGCCUCAGGUAUUUCACUGUGGUAACUCAAAGCGGAUGAAUACAGAGAGGACAUAUUAAAACAGUGGAAGGUACUAAAGAGAUGGUCUCUGACUCGUGAUGCGGGAUGUAACCCAGGACCUGCUGCAAAGGUGAGCAGUAAAGACAGGGACGUUGGGGCAUACAGGCAAACAAGCCAAGCAUCAAGCCAUCACGGCAUCUGUCAAAGGUGCACUAACCUCCACCUCCCCAAGGCAGCUACCUUGGCCUAGGUUAAUUGGUGGCUCCCAAAAAGUUACGUUCAAGUCCUAAAUCCUAAUAUGGGUGAAUGUGACCUUAUUUGGAAAUAGGAUCUUUGCAGAUGUGAUCAAAUUAAUACGAAAUCAUUCCAGAGUCGGUGAAUCUUAAGCCCAACAUGAAUGAUGUCCUUAGAAGAACCCUGAUGGACACAGACCAGCCCACGUGAGAAGGGAGGCAGACAGCAAGUGCCAAAGCUCCAAGCUAAAGAACAUUAACUGCAUGACAUGGGGCCCGGGAUAUAGCUCAACAGCAUAAGCACCUGCCUGGCAAGCCCAAGGUCCUGAGUUCAAUUCCUGGUACAAAAAAAAACCACAUUAACUGCAUGACACUUUAUUCUGAGAGUCACUCAGGCAGCACGUUUAUGUACAGACUAUCCCGAGCAUCCUUGGGCAGGGUCAUUUCAACUACUCAAUUCUUAUUUGCAGGAGAUACACUA
rnacentral:lncRNA from 1 species